UUUGAUACAGGGUAACACAGUGGACGGUCUUGCAAGAGUCACGGACAGGAAACUUGGAAGAAACAUGCAGACUAUAAUAAAUGGCACAGUUUUCGUUCCCGUUAGUUACAACCCAA